rnacentral:rRNA from 1 species
UACGUAGGGUGCGAGCGUUGUCCGGAAUUACUGGGCGUAAAGAGCUCGUAGGUGGUUUGUCGCGUUGUUCGUGAAAACUCACAGCUUAACUGUGGGCGUGCGGGCGAUACGGGCAGACUGGAGUACUGCAGGGGAGACUGGAAUUCCUGGUGUAGCGGUGGAAUGCGCAGAUAUCAGGAGGAACACCGGUGGCGAAGGCGGGUCUCUGGGCAGUAACUGACGCUGGAGGAGCGAAAAGCGUGGGGAGCGAACAGG